GAUUGAUGGGGAUGGUUGGGGGCAUUUGUAUUUAACUGUCAGAGGUGAAAUUCUUGGAUUUGUUAAAGACAAACUAAUGCGAAUGCAUUUGCCAAGGAUGUCUUCUUUAAUCAAGAACGAAAGUUAGGGGAUCGAAGACGAUUAGAUACCGUCCUAGUCUUAACCAUAAACUAUGCUACCAAGAAAUUGGAGGCGGUUGCCUGUUGAUUCCUUCGGCAUUUUUUGAGAAAUCAAAGUCUUUGAGUUCCAGGGGGAGUAUGGUCGCAAGACUGAAACUUAAAGGAAUUGACGGAAGGGCACCACCAGGAGUGGAGCCUGCGGCUUAAUUUGACUCAACACGGGGAAACUCACCAGGUCCAGACAUAGUAAGGAUUGACAGAUUGAUAGCUCUUUCUUGAUUAUGUGGGUGGUGGUGCAUGGCCGUUCUUA
rnacentral:rRNA from 1 species